UGAAAAUUCUGAGGAGGGAAGGAGCCGCGAGAACCAAAACUUUGAGCGGGAGAGAAUAGGGGUUUCGUGAAAGAAGUCAAACCUUUUUUUNUUCCUUUUGUUACACUUUUAUUAUUUUAUUUUUGGAAUUUAAGUAUCUAAUAAUGUAUUUAGAUUUUGUGUGUUAUUUAAUGAUAAAAAAAUAUUAUGAAUUUUUUAUUUCUCAAAGUCUAUAUCUAAAAAUAGAUUCAGAUUUUAGAGACAACAAUUUAUGUAUUUUUU
rnacentral:lncRNA from 1 species